rnacentral:rRNA from 1 species
AUUGAACGCUGGCGGCAGGCCUAACACAUGCAAGUCGAACGAGUGGCGGACGGGUGAGUAAUGUCUGGGAACCUGCUUGGUAGUGGGGGAUAACGUUCGGACACGGGCGCUAAUACCGCAUACUAUCAGGUGAGCCUCGGUCGGAUUAGCGAGUUGGUGGGGUAAAGGCCUACCAAGGCGACGAUGCGUAACUGGUCUGAGUGGAUGAUCGGUCACACUGGAACGGAGAAACGGCCCCGACGCCUACGGGAGGCAGCAGUGGGGAAUAUUGCACAAUGGGCGCAAGCCUGAUGCAGCCAUGCCGCGUGUAUGAAGAAGGCCUUCGGGUUGUAAAGGUCUUUCAGCAGGGAGGCGUUACCCGCAGAAGAAGCACCGGCUAACUCCGUGCCAGCAGCCGCGGUAAUAC